UACGAAGGGGGCUAGCGUUGUUCGGAAUUACUGGGCGUAAAGCGCACGUAGGCGGAAUGUUAAGUCAGGGGUGAAAUCCCGGGGCUCAACCCCGGAACUGCCUUUGAUACUGGCAUUCUCGAGUCCGGAAGAGGUGAGUGGAAUUCCGAGUGUAGAGGUGAAAUUCGUAGAUAUUCGGAAGAACACCAGUGGCGAAGGCGGCUCACUGGCCCAUUACCGACGCUCAGGCGCGAUAGCGUGGGGAGCAAACAGG
rnacentral:rRNA from 1 species